rnacentral:rRNA from 1 species
GUGAGGAAUUUUCCGCAAUGGGCGAAAGCCUGACGGAGCAAUGCCGCGUGAAGGAUGAAGGCCUAUGGGUUGUAAACUUCUUUUCUCAGAAAAGAAUUAUGACGGUAUCUGAGGAAUAAGCAUCGGCUAACUCUGUGCCAGCAGCCGCGGUAAGACAGAGGAUGCAAGCGUUAUCCGGAAUGAUUGGGCGUAAAGCGUCUGUAGGUUGUUUAAAAAGUAUUCUGUCAAAGAUUAGGGCUUAACCCUAGAUAGGCAGAAUAAACUUUUAAGCGAGAGUUUGGUAGAGGCAGAGGGAAUUCCCGGUGGAGCGUUGAAAUGCGUAGAUAUCGUGACGAUCACCAACAGGCGAAGGCACUCUGCUGGGCCAAUACUAACACUGUGAGACGAAAGCGAUGGGAGCAAAUGGGAUUAGAAACCCUGGUAGUCC